GCAAUGGUGGUUCAGUGGUAGAAUGCUCGCCUUCCAUGCAGAAGACCCUGGUUCGAUUCCUGACAAAUACA
rnacentral:tRNA from 1 species